CAUGUUUCAAAACCACCUAAAGAAAAAACUUCAAUAAGUAAUUACUUUAAGCUUCUAAAAUCAAUCGCUGGUCAUCACAACAAAAACCUAACAGUGGAGGGUAUUCAUAAAAAAAUAAAUCUAGCCGACUCCAAAUUAUCGUGGGAGCAUGAGCGUUUCUGUAUGAAACGGUUUCCUGCAUUUACAUUAUCCUCAGCGAAAUCCCCUGUAAGUCCGCUGCGAACUACGAUGUUUAAGGAUAACGAAUCGUAUAUAAUAGAGCAUUUGGUUAUUUCCGUGAAGAAUAUAGCCGAAUCACUUGCUUGUUAUAUGUAUAAAAUAGAUCCCUUCUCUGAAGUUUUUGAAGGUCAUGCUGCUAUAAUUGAAGACAAUAUUCGUCCAUACCUCGGAAUCAAAGCGACUUUGCAGAAUAACGACAUUAAAGACGGAUUUGAAAAAUAUCUGAAAAACGUCAAAAUAUUUUUUGACAAACCGGAUGAACGGGAACCAGAUUUUAUGUUUUAUAAUAGCAACAAUCCAAAGCUUAAUAUCUAUCGAGUCAAGCCCGCAAUAUUUGAUCUAUUUCUAACUUUCGCUAUAUCCGUUUAUCUGUUUGGUGUUUAUUUUGCCAUCCAUUUUUUUCCCAGAUUUUAUUCAUUAAUAUCGAACAGCACAAAUAUUUACAUUCGCUGUUUUAUUAAAUCAUCACCUAACGCCUUAAAACGAAAAUAAAAUACCCAAUACUAAAUCAAAGAAAAAGAGUUGAAUUACAGAUAUUAUUUAGUAUUCAUUAUCAUACAGAAUUGUAAGCUAUCUGAAAUAAAUCUAAGUCAACUGA